rnacentral:rRNA from 1 species
GACGAACGCUGGCGGCGUGCCUAAUACAUGCAAGUCGAACGAACCGCGACUAGGUGCUUGCACUUGGUCAAGGUGAGUGGCGAACGGGUGAGUAACACGUGGGUAACCUACCUCAUAGUGGGGGAUAACAGUCGGAAACGACUGCUAAUACCGCAUAGGACAUAGGAUCACAUGAUUCUGUGAGGAAAGGUGGCGCAAGCUAUCGCUAAGAGAUGGACCCGCGGUGCAUUAGCUAGUUGGUAGGGUAAAGGCCUGCCAAGGCGAUGAUGCAUAGCCGACCUGAGAGGGUGAUCGGCCACAUUGGGACUGAGACACGGCCCAAACUCCUACGGGAGGCAGCAGUAGGGAAUCUUCCGCAAUGGACGCAAGUCUGACGGAGCAACGCCGCGUGAGUGAAGAAGGUCUUCGGAUCGUAAAGCUCUGUUGUUAGAGAAGAACAGCGCAUAGAGUAACUGUUAUGCGUGUGACGGUAUCUAACCAGAAAGCCACGGCUAACUACGUG